AGAGCUCUAUUGCCAGAAAUCUUACAAAACAACCGUCCUAGGUCUGGUGCGGGCGAGAACGCCGGUUUGUGAAGCGGACCGAGCCGCCCGGCGGCCUGAGUAUAGCCCAGUGGGGGGUCCGUCUUCCAGGACAAGGCACAUAGGGACUCAUCCACUGUGUCUUCGUGGUGGACACUUUGCUUCGCUUGCUGCCAACCACGCCGUUGGGAUCUGUCCGAAUCGUUUCAGUGUCUGCUUCUGCUGUCUCAGAACAGCUCUGAACUUCCUGCCCCUGGGAACAGUGGCAAUUACUUGGCUACAAACCUGGAGAAUAAGAAGGAAGGCUGUUUAAUGAUAGUUGAACUUGGGGUGAGAAAAGCUGCUUCCAAACAUAGCAUUGAGAAGUCCCCUGUGGGGUGUUCCUUUGCUCUGAACGCUUCAGAGUCCGCUGAGACCAGUCUAUUCUUGGUGCAUCUAAAAACCUGUCUGUAGCUGAGCCAGGCCUGUCCUCCCUUUGAGGAAAAUGUCUGAUCUCUAAACACUGGCCUGAAAGCUCUUUUCUUUUCCCUGUCUUUGCCGUCUAACCCAGCUUCUUGAUACCUUUUCUUUCUCCUUUUUAAAAAACUUACCAAGCGGGGGCACCUUCUGAAGCAUUGUGUUCAAGGCCUUCAUGAACUUGUGGACACAGAAUCGAAAAGCAAAAAUCAAGAAAUGCGAUGCUACCAGAGAAGACUAGUUAUGGAUGGAACCUCAACACAGAGGGCUGGAUUUCAUCAGCGUCUCCAGCUGACUCAUCACCCUGCUGAUUAAUUCUGAGCUGGUGGCUACAGGGGACCAGGGAAGACCAGUGAGGAGACCAAGGAACCAGCAAGAGAGUGAUGAUGGUGACUUGGACCAGAAUAGCGGCAGCAAAAGUGGAGAGAAGCAGAAACUCCAGCUGUCACCUCGGGUGCAUCAGUAACAUAUACCAAGGCCCUGAGCAGCAGAAGGCCGGCAACAACGGGUGUCCCCAGGCAUUGUGCAACUCUCUGUCUCCACAGCCAUUGCAGUCACCGGUGAGGAAGGUGAGCCAGCCUGGGAGGGAGGAUGCCCCAAUAUUCUGGGAUGGGCAGCCUCCCUAUUGGGCCCUGAGGUAGCCCAGUCAGCCCUGCCAGGAGCACAGAUUCC